rnacentral:rRNA from 5 species
AGCCUGAUGCAGCCAUGCCGCGUGUGUGAAGAAGGCCUUCGGGUUGUAAAGCACUUUCAGUCGUGAGGAAGGUGGUAGUGUUAAUAGCUCCAUCAUUUGACGUUAGCGACAGAAGAAGCACCGGCUAACUCCGUGCCAGCAGCCGCGGUAAUACGGAGGGUGCGAGCGUUAAUCGGAAUUACUGGGCGUAAAGCGCAUGCAGGUGGUUUGUUAAGUCAGAUGUGAAAGCCCGGGGCUCAACCUCGGAAUAGCAUUUGAAACUGGCAGACUAGAGUACUGUAGAGGGGGGUAGAAUUUCAGGUGUAGCGGUGAAAUGCGUAGAGAUCUGAAGGAAUACCGGUGGCGAAGGCGGCCCCCUGGACAGAUACUGACACUCAGAUGCGAAAGCGUGGGGAGCAAACAGGAUUAGAUACCCUGGUAGUCCACGCCGUAAACGAUGUCUACUUGGAGGUUGUGGCCUUGAGCCGUGGCUUUCGGAGCUAACGCGUUAAGUAGACCGCCUGGG